rnacentral:tRNA from 1 species
GGCAUGUAGCUCAAUGGCAGAUCACUUGCCCGGCACGUGUGAAUCCUGGGUUCAAUCCCCACCAGUGCUG